GACGAACGCUGGCGGCGUGCUUAACACAUGCAAGUCGAACGGAAAGGCCCUGCUUUUUUGGUGUGCUCGAUUGGCGAACGGGUGAGUAACACGUGAGUAACCUGCCCUUCACUUUGGGAUAACUUCAGGAAACUGGGGCUAAUCCCGGAUAGGAGCUCCUGCUGCAUGGUGGGGGUUGGAUAGUUUCGGCGGUUGGGGAUGGACUCGCGGCUUAUCAGUUUGUUGGUUGGGUAGUGGCUUACCAAGGCUUUGACGGGUCGCCGGCCUGAGAGGGUGACCGGCCACAUUGGGACUGAGAUACGGCCCAGACUCCUACGGGAGGCAGCAGUGGGGAAUAUUGCACAAUGGGCGGAAGCCUGAUGCAGCAACGCCGCGUGCGGGAUGACGGCCUUCGGGUUGUAAACCGCUUUCGCCUGUGACGAAGCGUGAGUGACGGUAAUGGGUAAAGAAGCACCGGCUAACUACGUG
rnacentral:rRNA from 1 species